rnacentral:rRNA from 1 species
GACGAACCGUGCGAACGUUAUUCGGAAUCACUGGCUUAAAGGGCGCGUAGGCGGUUGCCAAGUCUGUGGUGAAAUCCUCGGCUUAACCGGGGAACUGCGUCUGAUACUGGAUGGCUUGAGUUCGGAGAGGGAUGCGGAAUUCCAGGUGUAGCGGUGAAAUGCGUAGAUAUCUGGAGGAACACCGGUGGCGAAGGCGGCAUCCUGGACCGACGACUGACGCUGAUGAGCGAAAGCCAGG